UACACCUGUGGAAAGUACAAAGCAGCUUGAUCACGACCCCAGCUGUGUGACUGUGUUUUCUUAAAAAUGUAUUUUGAAGUCUUUGCAACCAUCAUGAUUACAAGCUCUGUGUUAGGAAAUCAAGUGAUCCAGAACGUCUCUGAAAUCACAGUCAAGAAAGGAGACGACAUAGUGCUAGGCUGCAGCUACAGCGGAACAAAGUAUGUGCUUAUAUGGUACCAGCAGAAACCCCAUCAAUCUCUCCAGCUUAUUCUCCACGAUGAAUCCAAAACCCUCAAUGAGGAGUUUGCACAGCGUUUUUCUGGCCACCAUGAUACCGAGCAAAAGACUUUCAAUCUUUUUAUCAGAAGGAGUCAGUGGUCAGAUACUGCGACUUACUACUGUGCCUUGGAGUAUGGCACCGUGUGCAGAGCAAGGUCUCAGCUGUUCAUUAACUCCUUUAGCUGUAAGACAGGGCUUAAAGCAGGCCACGGACUAAAAAUACCAGUGUAA